rnacentral:rRNA from 1 species
UACAGAGGGUGCAAGCGUUGUUCGGAUUUACUGGGCGUAAAGGGCGCGUAGGCGGCGUGGUAAGUCAGUUGUGAAAUCUCCGAGCUUAACUCGGAACGGCCAACUGAUACUGCUGUGCUAGAGUGCAGAAGGGGCAAUCAGAAUUCUUGGUGUAGCGGUGAAAUGCGUAGAUAUCAAGAGGAAUACCAGAGGUGAAGACGGGUUGCUAGGCUGACACUGACGCUGAGGCGCGAAAGCCAGGGGAGCAAACGGG